GAAGAAGGAUCCUGAAAACAGCCAUCUCAAGACUGUCAUUCACAUGAAUGAAGAUACAGUUUGUGUAUAACAUCUAAGCUAAUGAACUCCCAUCAAGCUUUAUGAGCCACAGCUCUCAAGCCAAGUGAGGUACCGGAAGUUUCUCAUCAGUUUCAUUCUACAACAAUGUAGGGUCUGACUUCCCAUCUUGGAACUUCCUCCCAGCUCCAGGCCAGUACACCCACAUCUUCUCCUUCUUAAGUGGAACAGCAGCCAUUGUUUGGACCGAAGGUCUGUCUAGAUUGCAGAUAGAGAAAGGAAUACCCCAACAUUCGGGCAGUACUUCUGUCUGAGAGACAUUUGCCAUAUUCUACAAAGGAAAGGGCAGCAAGCCAAAAAACAGCAGCCUGGAUUUGGCCUAUAAUUCACAUGGAUUACAGGCAGAAUUGCAGUGAAAAUUCAUGUGAAGAUGUUUAGAAAAGAGUGAAAAAAACAGCAGGACAUUUCUAUGGCUUGGAAGAUCUACCAUGCUGUACUGCUGAGACCCUUGAAUGUCUAUCAGGAUACUCUUCUGCUGCCAGCCAGCAAGCAUUGAAAAAAACUUGAAAAAGCUACAUUAAUAUUCUCUGGUGAUCUGUAUAUCUAUCACACCCCUCUCUGAUGCUUCUGUGAUGGAGUGUAUCUUCCUCAGUACGGAAUUUAGCACAUAAGUCUCUGAACUUCCCUCCCAUUAACCAGGUUAGCAUAAUCUCAUUUUUUACACCUUGCAACUAGUGCUUUGAACAGCAGAAUUGCUGCGCUAAGAAAAUAAUUCCAACAGAGAAAUAAAUAAGAUGAUGCUGAAAGAAAAAUCCGCAAUUGCUGUCUAUUAGAUGUGUGAGCAUAGUUAAAGACAGUCAGAAUUUGAACAGCCCCUUGCUUUCGCAUAUGUGCAGAUUUAAAAAAAAAAAAAAA
ensembl:lncRNA